rnacentral:rRNA from 1 species
UACGUAGGUGGCAAGCGUUGUCCGGAUUUACUGGGCGUAAAGAGCGCGCAGGCGGUCUUUUAAGUCGAAUGUGAAAGCCCCCGGCUCAACUGGGGAGGGUCAUUCGAUACUGAUCGACUUGAAGGCAGGAGAGGGUAGUGGAGUUCCCGGUGUAGCGGUGAAAUGCGCAGAUAUCGGGAGGAACACCUAUGGCGAAGGCAGCUCGCUGGGACGUUACUGACGCUGAUGCACGAAGGCCAGGGGAGCAAACGGG